rnacentral:snRNA from 1 species
UUUCUUUCUUAUUGUUAU